GUAGGUACAGCUCAGUGGUAGAGUGCAUGCUUAGCAUGCGUGAGGUCCUGGGUUCAAACCCCAGUAAUUCCA
rnacentral:tRNA from 1 species